ACGAGAACAGUGCUUGAACCCCUGACCUCUCUUAAGAACUGAGAGUGCUCGAAACCGACACAGGUGGAUAGGUAGAGAAUACCUAGGGGCGGAGACAACUCUCUCUAAGGAACUCGGUAAAAUAGCCCUGUAACUUCGGGAGAAGAGGUGCCUCCUCACAAAGGGGGUCGCAGUGACCAGGCCCGGGCGACUGUUUACCAAAAACACAGGUCUCCGCAAAGUCGUAAGACCAUGUAUGGGGGCUGACGCCUACCCAGUGCCGGAAGGUCAAGGAAGUUGGUGACCCGAUGACAGGGGAGCCAACGAUUGAAGCCCCAGUGAACGGCGGCCAUAACUAUAACGGUCCUAAGGUAGCGAAAUUCCUUGUUAGGUAAGUUUUGACCCGCACGAAAGGCGUAACGAUCUGGGCACUGUCCUGGAGAGAGGCUCGGUGAAA
rfam:Citrus clementina cultivar Clemenules unplaced genomic scaffold scaffold_9, whole genome shotgun sequence.